UACGUAGGGUGCAAGCGUUGUCCGGAAUUAUUGGGCGUAAAGAGCUUGUAGGCGGUUUGUCGCGUCUGCUGUGAAAUUUCGGGGCUCAACCCGAACUUGCAGUGGGUACGGGCAGACUAGAGUGUGGUAGGGGAGACUGGAAUUCCUGGUGUAGCGGUGAAAUGCGUAGAUAUCUGGAGGAACACCGGUGGCGAAGGCGGCAUCCUGGACCGGCAUUGACGCUGAGGCGCGAAAGCUAGGGAGCAAACGGG
rnacentral:rRNA from 1 species